CCUAUAAUAAGCGGCCGUGUACUUCCUUAAACACUUUGCACGGGAGUUCCAUUAACGACCUAGCUUUCCUUCUCUGAGAGGGUUGAUUUUAUCAAGGAUUUCAAGGAAAUAAUCUGUGAAAAUGUCAGCUGGGGAGCCCUUGUGUUGGCCCAUCCAAUAAUAUUGAGAGUCUCCUUCAGUGAGCAAGUGCCGGCCCAACUGUGAUCGAAUAGCUUGAGACUCCUGAGGAGAGCUUGGGUCUUGGACAAUGUUGUGUCCCCAACACCAGUGGAUCGGAGUAACUGGGACUGAAGUUGCCGAGUCGAUCUCUUAAAACCCUGCUGACUCUAGAUGGUUCCGAGUCAUCCAGAGAGCACCUGUCGAAGUUUAUUUGAUAUGGUACUGCUCAGGGAUGUAUCCAAACCGAAGGAUUUGUACAAGGACCCUGACGAUGGGCGCCAACGCUUUUUGCUUGAGUUGGAGUUUGUUCAAUGUCUAGCCAAUCCUACCUAUAUCCACUAUUUGGCUCAGAACCGGUAUUUUGAAGAUGAAGCCUUUGUCGGUUACUUGAAGUACCUUCAGUAUUGGCAACAACCAGAGUAUAUAAAGUUUAUUAUGUACCCACACAGCUUGUUCUUUCUUGAACUUCUUCAAAAUGCCAACUUCCGCAAUGCAAUGGCCCAUCCAGGCAACAAGGAAAUAGCUCAUAGGCAGCAGUUCUUUUUCUGGAAGAAUUACAGAAACAAUCGGUUAAAGCACAUCUUGCCACGCCCUCUUCCUGAACCUCCCGCUCAACCAGUUCCACCCCCACCUCCUGCCCCCGCCCCAUCUACAGCUGCUAAUGCCCCAAUACCUUCCCCCAUGCAGAUGACUUCAUCAAUAGGAUCCACUCUCCCAAAACCAGAUAUGAGAAAUAGCAGUGGGGAUCGGAGAAAGAGGAAGAAAGAUGCUUAGCUCCUUCUGCAGAUGUGAACUGGGAGAGUAGACUAUGGAGGAUUGUCAUUUUUCUGUGCUCUUAGCGCUCUCUCUUUCUUUCUCUUUCUCUCUCCCCCCCUCCCUGCCCCCCACAUGGUUUUUUUUUAAUGUUACAUUAAAUAAUUAUUUCAUCCACCUAAAAUAUAGGACGUUAUAAAUUUCCUUACCUCCCUCUCUUCCCCCCACCCCCCAAACCAAAAAAACAUCAACCCCCAAAAUCACUGAAGCUUGGCUCUCCCAUUCUCUCACUGACUUUCUCUUACUCAACCAGCGCUUCUCAUGCCAUCUCCACCUGCAACCUCACUGAUAUGUUCGUUGGUGCUGCCAACAAACAAGGGUUAAUCUCUCUCUCUCUCUCUCUCUCUUUUCUGUGAACACAGCUAGAGCAAAUAUCUGAGGCCUGAGUUAUAGGGGACAAAGGCACGAAUCUACUUGCUGACAUGUAGGUGAACUGGCCUUGGAGCAGUUGUUGCUUUGUGGGCAUUAAUUUUGCCAUGGCAGUUGCUUUCAGAUGGAAACUAUCUCAUGAGAAAAUCUGAGGAACUGAUUAUUGCCAAGAAACCUUGGAGAAUCAAUUUUCUUGGAAGAUUAAUUAUUGUAACGUAGUGCAAAUUGUUACCAUUACUACCGAGGAUCACUUAUAUUAUACUAUGCUCCCGCAGGAGCAAUAAUGUAGAUCCACUCCCUCGGCUAUAAGACCUCUUUUGGAGGGUUUUUUCCAUGUGAAAAUUUGAAAACCACCAAAGAUCACUAGAUGAUCAUUUACGAAAGAAAAAUUUUGAGUUGACGUUUAAAUUUUA